AAUAGAUACCCUGGUAGUCCACGCCGUAAACGAUGAGUGCUAAAGUGUUAGGGGGUUUCCGCCCCGUUAGUGCUGCAGCUAACGCAUUAAGCACUCCGCCUGGGGAGUACGGUCGCAAGACUGAAACUCAAAGGAAUUGACGGGGGCCCGCACAAGCGGUGGAGCAUGUGGUUUAAUUCGAAGCAACGCGAAGAACCUUACCAGGUCUUGACAUCCCAUUGACCACUAUGGAGACAUAGUUUUCCCUUCGGGGACAACGGUGACAGGUGGUGCAUGGUUGUCGUCAGCUCGUGUCGUGAGAUGUUGGGUUAAGUCCCGCAACGAGCGCAACCCUUGUUCUUAGUUGCCAUCAUUUAGUUGGGCACUCUAAGGAGACUGCCGGUGACAAACCGGAGGAAGGUGGGGAUGACGUCAAAUCAUCAUGCCCCUUAUGACCUGGGCUACACACGUGCUACAAUGGACGGUACAAACGGUUGCCAACCCGCGAGGGGAGCUAAUCCGAUAAAACCGUUCUCAGUUCGGAUUGUAGGCUGCAACUCGCCUACA
rnacentral:rRNA from 1 species